rnacentral:rRNA from 1 species
UCAAUAAGCGGAGGAAAAGAAACCAACCAGGGAUUGCCCCAGUAACGGCGAGUGAAGCGGCAACAGCUCAAAUUUGAAAUCCGGCGCCCCCGCGGCGCCCGAGUUGUAAUUUGCAGAGGAUGCUUUUGGCGCGGCGCCUUCCGAGUUCCCUGGAACGGGACGCCAUAGAGGGUGAGAGCCCCGUCUGGUCGGACGCCCAGCCUCUGUAAAGCUCCUUCGACGAGUCGAGUAGUUUGGGAAUGCUGCUCUAAACGGGAGGUAUAUGUCUUCUAAAGCUAAAUACCGGCCAGAGACCGAUAGCGCACAAGUAGAGUGAUCGAAAGAUGAAAAGCACUUUGAAAAGAGGGUUAAACAGUACGUGAAAUUGUUGAAAGGGAAGCGCUUGUGACCAGACUCGGGCGCGGCGGAUCACCCGGCGUUCUCGCCGGUGCACUCCGCCGCGCGCGGGCCAGCAUCAGUUCGCCGCGGGGGACAAAGGCGCCGGGAACGUGGCUCCCCCCGGGGAGUGUUAUAGCCCGGCGCGCAAUGCCCCGCGGCGGACUGAGGUUCGCGCGUCCGCAAGGAUGCUGGCGUAAUGGUCACCAGUGACCCGUCUUGAAACACGGACCGAGGAGUCGUCCUCGUAUGCGAGUGUUCGGGUGUCAAACCCCUACGCGAAAUGAAAGUGAACGCAGGUGAGAGCCUCACGGCGCAUCAUCGACCGAUCCUGAUGUCCUCGGAUGGAUUUGAGUAAGAGCAUACGGGGCCGGACCCGAAAGAAGGUGAACUAUGCCUGUGUAGGGUGAAGCCAGAGGAAACUCUGGUGGAGGCUCGCAGCGGUUCUGACGUGCAAAUCGAUCGUCAAACAUGGGCAUGGGGGGCGAAAGACUAAUCGAACCUUCUAGUAGCUGGUU